GUGAGCCGAGAUCAUGCCACUGCCCUCCAGCCUGGGUGACAGAGCCAGACUCCCUCUCAAAAAACAAACAAACAAAACACAAAGAUAAAUAAUGCACAUUCUAUUCUGGGUCUCAUCAGCCUCAAGGUGGCCAAGUUUCUAUGCUGAGACUAUAGCCCACAGUUACACCAGCCAUGAUCCUCAGCAGCAGAGGUAGUGAUGAUGAAGUCUGAUGCCCAAAGACAAGCAGAACAGAUUUAGGUGGGCAGUUAUAUCACUGUGAGUUUUCAUGGACUAUGGUAUGCUGAACUCCUUUACCUGCCUGUGGACUGGAGUUGGAGGACUGUCAUUACUGGCUUGUUCUGCAGUGCUGGGUUCCCCAUUGCAGGAGCAGUGUCUGCCCUUACUGAAGAGGGAAGGAUUGACCCAGCCUCCUGCUGGUGGCAGAAAGGAAAGAGAGACCACAGCUGUCCCCACACAUCACCCUUUUGUUUCCUGACCAUGAAUAGAUAUUUAUCAAGAAAAGACAUACAUACAAAUGGCCAAGAAGUUUAUGAAAAAAUGCUCAGCAUUUAUUCUGGGAAUGUAAGGUUGGCUUAACAUUUGAACAUCAUAAUCAAGGUAAAUCACCAAAUCAUAGACUAAAAAAAACAUGAAUAGAGGCAAAAUGAUCAUUUGAUAAAAGUCAAUAUUUAUUCAGGAUAGAAGCUCCAGCAAACUUGGAAUAGAAGGAGACUUCCUUCUCUUAGGAUGGGGAUCUGUAAAAAGCUACGGCUAACAUUAUACUCAUGAAGAAAGACUGAAAAUUUCUCCCUAGAGGAGCAUUGGGAGGAUGUCUGCUCUCAUCUCUUCUGUUCAAUAUUGUACUGGAAGUUUCAGUCAAUGAAAUAAGAUAGAAAUAAAAGACAUAUACAUUAAAAAGAAGCAAAAUCAUCUUAACUUCCAAUGCAAUGCUUACUUAUGCAGAAAAUCCUUAGAAAUAUAAAUAAUGCUACUAAAACAAAUAAGUUUAGCAAAGUCAACAAAGCCAGUACAAAAGCAAUAUGAUUUUUAUAUAUUAGCAAUGAAAUAAUUGAGGAGUAAAAUUUAACAAUGCAUUUACAUGUAUAGUUAGGGGUGCAUUUAACAAAUUAUGUGCAAGACCUAUAUGCUGAAAACUACCAACAUUGAUGAGAGAAAUUAGAUAAGAUAUAAAUAUAUGAAGAGUUUCCAUGCUCAUGGAUUGGGAUACUCAACAUAGCUAAGAUAUCAAUUCAUUCCCAUUGAUCUAUAAAUUUAGUGCCAUUCCAAUCAAAAUCCCAAUAUAUAUUUCAUAGAUGUUGAAAUACUGAUUCUAAAAUUAAUAUGAAAAUGCAAAGAACCUAGAACAUUCAAACUUAUUUUGAAAAAGCAAAAAAUGGGAAGACUUAACACUACUGGAUUAUGAGAUUUAGAAUAAAACUACAUUAAUCAAAAUAGUGAGGUACUGGCAAAAGGACAGACAUAGCACUCAAUGGAACAAAAUGAAGAGGCUAUACCUAAACCCUCAUUUAUAUGGUCAACAGACCCUCAUUAAAUGUUCAUGAUUUUUCUAGAAGGGUGCUGCAUAAUUUAAUAAAGGAUACUCUUUUUAACAAAUGGUGCUGAAUAAUUGGAUAUCUAUUUGCAAACAAAGAAACAAAAAAAGAACCAUGAUGUUUUGUUCACUUUGUAUGAAGGAUUUUAAUGGAAAUGGACAAUAGAUCUAAAUGUAAAAAGUAAAACUAUGAAUCUUCUACAAGAAAACAUAGGAGAAAAUGUCCACGAUUUGGAUUAGACAACAAAUCCUUAGAUGGACACAAAAAGCCCAAAGCCAAAUACAAAAAAAUGGAUAAACUGUACUUCAUUAAAGUAAAAAACUUUUGCUCUUCAAAACAUAUUGUGGAAAAGGGGAAGGGCAGGCCACAUGCUGAAUGAUAUUUGUAAAAUAUAAAGCCAAUAAAAGACUGUAUGUAUAAAUAUAUAGAAGUCAUAUAUUUCAGACAAUCUGACAAAAAUAUGGGCAAAAGAUCUAAAUCUACUUACUUUAUCAAAAUUAAAUGGAACCAUAGUGAGAUAUUGCUACACAACCACUAGUCUAAUUAUUUAGUCUAACUAAAAUGAAAGAGUGACAAUAUGAAUUGUUGUGUAGGAUGUGGAGGAACUAGUUAGAAGGUUACUUCAGUGAACCUGGUGAGAGGUGACAUGGCUUGUUCCAAAGAAAGCAGUGCAGGUGGUGAGAGGUCAUCACAUUUUGAAGAUAAAGCAAUAGGAUUUUCUAAUGGAAGAAGUGAUAGAGAAGAGUCAAGGACAAUUCCAGAAUUUUUUGCCUGAGCAAAAGAAUGUAACCACAGAGACAUACAUGGUUCAGCUAUACAUCAUGUUUACAUAACAAUAAUGAUACAAACAUGAAUAAUUAUCUCCACAAGUGUAUAACGAUUUUGAGAAAAUGGGAGAGGGAAGUAAGGUGUGAGGGUGUGUGUGUGUGUGUGUGUGUGUGUGUGUGGCUAGUGAAUUUAAGAGCUAAAUCUUCAUCUUCCAUAAUAAAAUUCAAUAGAAAUAUAAAAUUAAAAAUCAAGUCAAAUCUAACAUUUUAUAUAAAAUAUGGAAGCAUAUUUAAAAAGAAACAAAGUAGCUGAAAGUAUUUCUGAAGACAGGGAAUUGAGGUUAGAAGUCUAACCCAAAAGAUGACUUCACUUGUAUUUAAAAACUCGUGCAGCCUAGACA
rnacentral:lncRNA from 10 species